AGCAGCCGCGGUAAUUCCAGCUCCAAUAGCGUAUAUUAAAGUUGUUGCAGUUAAAAAGCUCGUAGUUGAAUUUCGGGGUUAGUAGGUUGGUCAUGCCUCUGGUAUGUACUGGUCUCACUGAUUCCUCCUUCCUGAUGAACCGUAAUGCCAUUAAUUUGGUGUUGCGGGGAAUUUGGACUGUUACUUUGAAAAAAUUAGAGUGUUUAAAGCAAGCUAACGCUUGAACACAUUAGCGUGGAAUAAUGAAAUAGGACGUUCGAUCCUAUUUUGUUGGUUUCUAGGAUUGACGUAAUGAUUAAUAGGGAUAGUUGGGGGCAUUAGUAUUCAAUUGUCAGAGGUGAAAUUCUUGGAUUUAUUGAAGACUAACUACUGCGAAAGCAUUUGCCAAGGAUGUUUUCAUUAAUCAAGAACGAAAGUUAGGGGAUCGAAGACGAUCAGAUACCGUCGUAGUCUUAACCAUAAACUAUGCCGACUAGGGAUCGGAUGAUGUUAAUUUUUUAAUGACUCAUUCGGCGCCUUA
rnacentral:rRNA from 1 species